AUGUCCCCGAGGUGUCCCCUAGUUGCGGUCCAUGGUGGCCAGGAUCCAGGAGGUGAAGCUGCAGACCCUGGUGUAGACCCCGGGGUGGCCGGGCAGGGCGCAGGUCUGCAGCCCCCAGGACACGAUGCCCUGCAGGGUCCCAUUGCAGGACAGGGGACCCCCGGAGUCACCCUGGGGACACACAGGGGUCAUUCAGAGGUCACUCAGGGGUCAGAGAUCACUCAAAGGUCACUCGGGUCACUCAGGGGUCACUCAGUGUCACUCAGUGUCACUCAGAGGUCACUCAGGGGUCACUCAGGGACACUCAGAGGUCACUCAGGGGUCACUCAGUGUCACUCGGGGGUCACUCGGGGGUCAGGGGUCACUCUGGGGUCACUCAGGGUCACUCAGGGUCACUCAGGGGUCACUCAGGGGUCACUCAGGGUCACUCAGGGGUCACUCAGGGGUCACUCAGGGGUCACUCAGGGUCACUCAGGGNNNNNNNNNNNNNNNNNNNNAAAUUCCCAAAUUUUCCCAGAAUUCCCCCCCAGACCCCCCAGAAUCUCCCGGAAUCCCCCAGAAUUUCCCGGAAUUCCCCGGAAUUUUCCGGAAUUUUCCCCGGAAUUCCCCGGAAUUUUCCGGAAUUCCCCGGAAUCCCCCGGAAUCCCCCGGAAUUUUCCGGAAUUCCGGCUGUUCCGGCCGCUCACAGCGUUUGAUGCGCGGCUGUUCCCCGAAGGGCGGGGCCAGGAACGCCUCCCGGAAAAGUUCCCCGAAGGGCGGGGCCAGGAACGCCUCCCGGAAAAACCAAACCACGUUCACCAACCACAGGAACGGCAACAGCAGGAACCCACCUGGGACAGGUAAACAACACACCUGGGACAGGUAAAAAUACACCUGGAGACACCUGGGACAGGUAAAAAUA
rnacentral:lncRNA from 1 species